rnacentral:rRNA from 1 species
CUAGCGACUUCAGAGUUUGAUCCUGGCUCAGGACGAACGCUGGCGGCGUGCUUAACACAUGCAAGUCGAACGAGGAUUACGAGAUUGAGAGCUUCGGCAGGAUAGAUCGUAAUUCGAGUGGCGGACGGGUGAGUAACGCGUGAGCAAUCUGUCCCAGACAGGGGAAUAACACUUGGAAACAGGUGCUAAUACCGCAUAAGACCACAGUAUCGCAUGGUACAGAGGUAAAAGGAGCAAUCCGGUUUGGGGUGAGUUCGCGUCCGAUUAGAUAGUUGGUGAGGUAACGGCCCACCAAGUCGACGAUCGGUAGCCGACCUGAGAGGGUGAUCGGCCACAUUGGAACUGAGAGACGGUCCAA